UACGUAGGGUGCGAGCGUUUGUCCGGAAUUACUGGGCGUAAAGAGCUCGUAGGUGGUUUGUCGCGUUGUCCGUGAAAACUCACAACUCAAUUGUGGGCGUGCGGGCGAUACGGGCAGACUGGAGUACUGCAGGGGAGACUGGAAUUCCUGGUGUAGCGGUGGAAUGCGCAGAUAUCAGGAGGAACACCGGUGGCGAAGGCGGGUCUCUGGGCAGUAACUGACGCUGAGGCGCGAAAGCGUGGGGAGCAAACAGG
rnacentral:rRNA from 1 species